CUUCUCUGCAGAAAAACAUGGGAAGGAAGCUGUGUCUUGCCCCUGAGGCCACCCUGCCUUACCACUCAGGACAGCCUGGGCUGGGCCUCCACUGUGAAACCAACUGCUCCUAGAAGGACUGAGGCAGGGACCCCAACUCUAGGCGCCUGCUGCUUGGUGGAUAUAGUACCUGGCCCUGCACAACCUGAGGCAGACAGUUGGGGGGAAAAAGAGGAGGCUGCCCCCUGUUUUCCAGGAACCACAACUCCCAUGUCUAGUAGUUAGUGGGUAUUUGAUGCCAGGGAAAGGCUGGAGAGGGAGAGACAAUCACAGAAGGAUGGGACAGUCAGAGAGGGCUUCCUUUAGGUGAUACCAUGACCUGAAGAGAGGUGGGCAUUAUAGGAAGGGAUAAUAUGUGCAAAAAUGAAUUUAUAAGUGAGCACAAAUGUGGCUUUGGAUACAGGGGUGAAGAGAGAGGUCAGGUUAGAGAAGUAAAAUCCAUUUAUUCAGUCACUUAUUCAUUCAGCAAAUAUCCAUGUCACUAAUCAUAUGUCAGUUUCUGUGCUUAGGGGCUGAAGACUCUCUCUGGUUACAAACUCAGAACAUGAAGGACUUGAAUGCCAGACGGAGUUUGGGAUAAAUGCAGAAGGAAAAAGGAGCCACUGAAGGUUGUGAUGUGGGAGGGGCAGAAUUGGGCUGCAAGGUAGUGGGCAGGAGGUUGGGGGAGCAUAUUUGGCUAUACUGCCUGAAUGGUGUUCCUGACUCCUUUGCCAAGGUCUGAGUUCUCCAAGACUCCAGAGCCUACUAGAUUCAUGGGACUGGCCAUCAGGUGACCCACUCCACUGCCUGGUGUGUGACAACUGUUACAAUAAGUAGCUGCCUGGGCCCUGGAGGAGCCCAUCUACCCUUCCCUACUCAACUCAAGUAAAGCCCAGAUGUUAGGUGGAGAGGGCCUCUAGGGAAAAUGUCUCAUAAAAUAACCAAAUGCUCCAGAGGGUAAGGAUGAGAAUGACCUUUACAGAUACUGUGACUUACUUUGAAAUUUCCCCUGACCUCAUGUCUCUGAAUCUCUGUCUCCUAUGCUUUAACCCUCUUUCUUUGCCACUGCUCAUCUGAUUCCAGCUUUUUCCCAGCUUCUUUCCAGCAGAUGGCAGAUGCCAUUACCACUCCAGGCCUCUAGGGGGUGCAAUUUGCCUUAAAGUUCAUGGUGGUACUUGGCGCAACGGGGCAAUGCUGUGAAUUUUCAGGAGCAGCUUUGAUGAAAAACAGCUCAAGAGGCUCCCUAGGUGUGGUCUAGAAGGAGAGAAGCAAGCAAGUGCUAAACAGGUGCCUUCACAGGAUCCAGAGAACUGACUGGCCAAGCCACACCAGCUUUCAAGGCUACAGCCAUUGGACAAAAAGAGAUCUAAUGAGGACUUCUCCAGUUCACAAAUUAUACCUAAAAAGUUCUCCUGGGAGAACCUAAAAGGUUGGCUAGGAAGGAAAUAUUGGAGCCACUGAAGCAGUCGAUAGCUCAAGAUGGAAAGAGAGACUGGCAGGAAGCCGCAGAAAGAAAAUGCUGCAUUGGAAACCGAGAAUGAACAGAAGCAACUAUCCCACUCCGGGAAUUAGGGAAGACUUCUCCAAAGAAAACUGAUGGAUGAAGCCUGAAUAAGAAGCACUGCUGAACCCGAUGAGGAAAGGAGUGGAAAACAAGAAGAAAAAGAAGAGAAAGGACUAGUGGGGAAGAUGCACAUGACUACAGAGCAGGCAAAAAGAACAGCCCAAUUUUGCUAGAAUGUUAAUGUUAGGGGGACAAAGUGGCAGGUGAUGAGACUAGAAUGGCAGGAAGACUUAAAAUCAUGUAGGACAUUGUAAGACAUGUUCAGGGCUUUGGACUUUACCCAGAAAUAAUGGGGAGACACUGGAGGAUUUUCAGCUCAUUGUCAAAUUUAGAUAGACAAACUGCUUUGGGAGCAGGUCCACAGAAUGGGCAGGGAUGAUUAAACUGGAAGCAGGGAGACCAGACAAAGGUCAUUGCAGUAGGUGACAAAGCUUGAAAAAGUGUCAGUGGGUUGGAAAAAAGGAGGUGGAGAAGAACAACAUGUUGAGGUCAAAUUGCUGGGGCACUAAGACUGGUUGGAUCUGGGUUUCAGGGAGAAGACCUGGGCAAGGAUGACUGCCAGGUUUCCUGCUGACUCAGGUGACUGCGUGAAUUGUGAUGCCAUAAAAGAUGGAGAAACAGAAAUAAGAGCUAUGGCAAAAAGCAGCAAAGACCCUUGACUUCUAGUCCUUGAGGCAGGGGACCAAAGCCAACAUGGACCUACCAGGAGUGGCCUGAGAAUCCAGAACAGACAGGAUCAGCCGGCAUUGAGAUUUUCCCAGAACCCACAACACCUUUCCACCAACAGUGAAUAUCCAGAAGGAGGCUCAACCAUGGAACCUAUACUCUGUUAUGUGGUGAAAAUGCUUUCCCACCUUUUACUUUUAUUUUUUGAAAUAGGGUAUCACUCUGUCACCCAGGCUGGAGUGCAAUGGCAUGAUCUUGGCUCACUGCAAUCUCCACCUCAGCUCAAGCAAUCCUGCCACCUUAGCCUCCCAAGUAACUAGGACUACAGGUGCAUACCACCAUGCCCAGCUAAUUUUUUAUAUUUUUGGUAGAGACAGAGUUUUGCCAUGUUGUUCAGGCUGGUCUCGAACUCCUGAGCUCAAGCGAUCCACCUGCCUUGGCCUCCCAAAAUGCUGGAAUUACAGGCAUGAGGCACCAUGCCCAGCCCUUUCUCACUUUUAUUAUUAUUAUUCCUCAUGUCUAGUCAAAGCUUUCUCACGUUUAAAACCUUCAAUAAUACUUUUCUGUAAAAAUAAACAAAUGGGGCUGGGCAUGGUGGCUCACGCCUGUAAUCCCAGAACUUUGGGAGGCCAAGGCAGGUGGAUCACCUGAGAUCAGCAGUUUGAGACCAGCCUGGCCAACAUGGUGAAACCCUGUCUCUACCAGAAAUACAAAAAUUGGCUGGGUGUGAUGGUGGGUGCCUGUAAUCCCAGCUACUCAGGAGGCUGAGGCAGGAGAAUCGCUUGAACCCGGGAGGCAGAGGUUGCAGUGAGCUGAGAUUGUGCCAUUGCACUCCUGCCUGGGCGAUAAGAGCAAAACUGUGUCUCAAAUAAAUAAAAUAAAAUAAAACAAAUAAACGAUUAAAUAAAAAUAAU